rnacentral:rRNA from 1 species
CAACGGAGAGGAUGGCCAAACUGUGACCUAUGCCAAUUAUGCAAGAGGGAGCCAGAGACGACGGCACACAUCAUCUUCCGGUGUCGAUACACGAAGCGCAUUUGGGCGGAGAUCAAGACUUGGAUGGGCUUGACCAAUGUGGACAUCGCCGACUGGAGUAGCUUCGACAACGUCAAGGACUGGUGGCACCACAUGGUGGGUGUCAAUGCCAAUGUGAGAAAGGGCCUCACAUUUGUCGUCAUAUUGGUUUCAUGAGAGAUUUGGAACGGACGGGCGAGAGUGUUUAGGAAUGUGUCCUCCAUGCCAUAUGUAAUCACAUCUAGAAUUAAGAGCGAAGCCAGGCUUGGGGGGUUGGCGGGGGCCAAGCAUUUGAGUUCUCUUACGCCGCGAGAGUAG